rnacentral:lncRNA from 1 species
UUUUAUUUUUCUUUUACACCUCUGGUCUCAAGAAUAAUACCUAAAGUAUGUUCUAACGGAUUUGAUCACCGGAGAUUUUUCGAAUAGUGGGAAUGGAGGAAUUGAUGAUCCCGUAAGAAGUCUACAAAAAUAUUUUUAGAAAAAAGAGUGGAUGCACCUAUUAAAUAGGGCAUGAUUUUAUAAGAAUUUAGAAAUUGGUUUCAC